rnacentral:lncRNA from 1 species
AUGGUACAUUUUCAGGGUAUCCGUGGAGAGAAAGGACUUCCAGGUCUCAUAGGAAGAAUUGGACCAAAGGGUUACUCAGGAGAUCCAGGUCUACCCGGUCCCCUGUUCUUUCAGAAUGGAAGUGAUGCCAGAGGUGCUAAAGGUGAGCAUGGGUAUCCAGGAACACCAGGACUCUCAGGUGACCCAGGGUACCCGGGCUUGCAAGGACUUCCUGGCCCACCAGGGUUAACAAUACCAGGUCAGCAUUUAGUUUUUGUCUAUGUUUUGUCACUUUAAGGUUACUUAUGUCUUUACUAUACAGUACAGCGAGUAUUUUAUUUUGUCUGGUCGAGAUUUGAUCUAUUUGUCUGCUCAUGCCAGUAAUUGUACUCUUCAUUAGUUCAUCAUUGCCACAGGGUUACUGACCCAAAU